GUCCAGGGUAGCCUAGUGGACAUGGCAUCUGCCCGUUAAGCAGAACACUGUGGGUUCGAUUCCUGGAUA